AACGUCCGUCGUGAAGAGGGAAACAACCCAGACCGCCAGCUAAGGUCCCAAAGUCAUGGUUAAGUGGGAAACGAUGUGGGAAGGCCCAGACAGCCAGGAUGUUGGCUUAGAAGCAGCCAUCAUUUAAAGAAAGCGUAAUAGCUCACUGGUCGAGUCGGCCUGCGCGGAAGAUGUAACGGGGCUAAACCAUGCACCGAAGCUGCGGCAGCGACACUAUGUGUUGUUGGGUAGGGGAGCGUUCUGUAAGCCUGUGAAGGUGUACUGUGAGGUAUGCUGGAGGUAUCAGAAGUGCGAAUGCUGACAUAAGUAACGAUAAAGCGGGUGAAAAGCCCGCUCGCCGGAAGACCAAGGGUUCCUGUCCAACGUUAAUCGGGGCAGGGUGAGUCGACCCCUAAGGCGAGGCCGAAAGGCGUAGUCGAUGGGAAACAGGUUAAUAUUCCUGUACUUGGUGUUACUGCGAAGGGGGGACGGAGAAGGCUAUGUUGGCCGGGCGACGGUUGUCCCGGUUUAAGCGUGUAGGCUGGUUUUCCAGGCAAAUCCGGAAAAUCAAGGCUGAGGCGUGAUGACGAGGCACUACGGUGCUGAAGCAACAAAUGCCCUGCUUCCAGGAAAAGCCUCUAAGCAUCAGGUAACAUCAAAUCGUACCCCAAACCGACACAGGUGGUCAGGUAGAGAAUACCAAGGCGCUUGAGAGAACUCGGGUGAAGGAACUAGGCAAAAUGGUGCCGUAACUUCGGGAGAAGGCACGCUGAUAUGUAGGUGAAGUCCCUCGCGGAUGGAGCUGAAAUCAGUCGAAGAUACCAGCUGGCUGCAACUGUUUAUUAAAAACACAGCACUGUGCAAACACGAAAGUGGACGUAUACGGUGUGACGCCUGCCCGGUGCCGGAAGGUUAAUUGAUGGGGUCAGCGCAAGCGAAGCUCUUGAUCGAAGCCCCGGUAAACGGCGGCCGUAACUAUAACGGUCCUAAGGUAGCGAAAUUCCUUGUCGGGUAAGUUCCGACCUGCACGAAUGGCGUAAUGAUGGCCAGGCUGUCUCCACCCGAGACUCAGUGAAAUUGAACUCGCUGUGAAGAUGCAGUGUACCCGCGGCAAGACGGAAAGACCCCGUGAACCUUUACUAUAGCUUGACACUGAACAUUGAGCCUUGAUGUGUAGGAUAGGUGGGAGGCUUAGAAGUGUGGACGCCAGUCUGCAUGGAGCCGACCUUGAAAUACCACCCUUUAAUGUUUGAUGUUCUAACGUUGACCCGUGAUCCGGGUUGCGGACAGUGUCUGGUGGGUAGUUUGACUGGGGCGGUCUCCUCCUAAAGAGUAACGGAGGAGCACGAAGGUUGGCUAAUCCUGGUCGGACAUCAGGAGGUUAGUGCAAUGGCAUAAGCCAGCUUGACUGCGAGCGUGACGGCGCGAGCAGGUGCGAAAGCAGGUCAUAGUGAUCCGGUGGUUCUGAAUGGAAGGGCCAUCGCUCAACGGAUAAAAGGUACUCCGGGGAUAACAGGCUGAUACCGCCCAAGAGUUCAUAUCGACGGCGGUGUUUGGCACCUCGAUGUCGGCUCAUCACAUCCUGGGGCUGAAGUAGGUCCCAAGGGUAUGGCUGUUCGCCAUUUAAAGUGGUACGCGAGCUGGGUUUAGAACGUCGUGAGACAGUUCGGUCCCUAUCUGCCGUGGGCGCUGGAGAACUGAGGGGGGCUGCUCCUAGUACGAGAGGACCGGAGUGGACGCAUCACUGGUGUUCGGGUUGUCAUGCCAAUGGCACUGCCCGGUAGCUAAAUGCGGAAGAGAUAAGUGCUGAAAGCAUCUAAGCACGAAACUUGCCCCGAGAUGAGUUCUCCCUGACCCUUUAAGGGUCCUGAAGGAACGUUGAAGACGACGACGUUGAUAGGCCGGGUGUGUAAGCGCAGCGAUGCGUUGAGCUAACCGGUACUAAUGAACCGUGAGG
rnacentral:rRNA from 1 species